rnacentral:tRNA from 1 species
GUCGCUUUGGCCGAGUGGUUAAGGCGUGUGCCUGCUAAGUACAUGCGGUUUUUCCCGCAAGAGUUCGAAUCUCUCAGGCGACG